CUCCUAGUCCAGCCUAGGGUGAACAUCUCCCCUCCAAGAAGGAGCCCCAGCAGCACCACGACCUGCUUGUCUACCACGUGACAGAUUUCUACCCAGACAGCAUUCAAGUCCGAUGCUUCCUGAAUGGACAGGAGGAAACAGCUGGGGUCGUGUCCACCAACCUGAUCCGUAAUGGAGACUGGACCUUCCAGAUCCUGGAGAUGCUGGAAAUGACCCCCCAGCAGGGAAACAUCUACACCUGCCAAGUGGAGCACCCCAGCCUGGACAGUCCUGUCACCGUGGAGUGGAAGGCACAGUCUGAUUCUGUGCAGAGCAAGAUGCUGACAGGAGCCAGGGGCUUCAUGCUGGGGCUCAUCAUCUGUGGAGUGGACAUCUUCACGCACAGAAGGAGGAAGAAAGUUCAACAAGGAUCUGCAUAAACAGGCAAUAUUCCUGCUUUGAUUUCCUU